rnacentral:rRNA from 1 species
CAGCCGCCGCGGUAAUACAGAGGGUGCGAGCGUUAAUCGGAUUUACUGGGCGUAAAGCGUGCGUAGGCGGCUAAUUGAGUCGGAUGUGAAAUCCCCGAGCUUAACUUGGGAAUUGCAUUCGAUACUGGUUAGCUAGAGUGUGGGAGAGGAUGGUAGAAUUCCAGGUGUAGCGGUGAAAUGCGUAGAGAUCUGGAGGAAUACCGAUGGCGAAGGCAGCCAUCUGGCCUAAUACUGACGCUGAGGUACGAAAGCAUGGGGAGCAAACAGGAUUAGAUACCCCAGUAGUCCCUGUCUCUUAUAA